CAGUCGCCACGGUAAUACGUAGGGUGCAAGCGUUAAUCGGAAUUACUGGGCGUAAAGCGUGUGCAGGCGGUUCUAUAAGACAGAUGUGAAAUCCCCGGGCUCAGCCUGGGAACUGCAUUUGUGACUGUAGAGCUGGAGUGCGGCAGAGGGGGAUGGAAUUCCGCGUGUAGCAGUGAAAUGCGUAGAUAUGCGGAGGAACACCGAUGGCGAAGGCAAUCCCCUGGGCCUGCACUGACGCUCAUGCACGAAAGCGUGGGGAGCAAAUGGGAUUAGAUACCCGAGUAGUCCCUGUCUCUUAUAA
rnacentral:rRNA from 1 species